AAUGUUGCGUAAAGGGAAAGGUCGUAGUCAAACCCCACAGCCACGCGAACUCUAAGUCAGCCACGAAUAGGCUAUCCCAACUAACGGCGGGAAAGACUCCACGGAGGGUGUAAGACCCGUGUGGGCGCGUGUCAAAGCUGUGCGGGCUCGGCCUCUUUUCCCUGAGAGUCGCGUUGCUUGAGCAUGCAGCGCUAAGCAGGUCGUAAACUCGAUCUAAGGCUAAAUAUCUCCACAGAACCGAUAGCGAACAAGUACCGUGAGGGAAAGUUGAAAAGCACUCUGGAGAGAGAGUCAAAAGACCGUGAAACCGCUCAGAGUAUAAGCCCAUGGCAGCUUGGAAGGCAUAUCGCUAGCGGGGCAUCGGUCUCCCUUCACGGGGAGCUGGUGUUACCUUGCUUCUGUUGUGGCUCGUUAUGGUAGGGGGGUCAAGUCCACAUCCCGCCGUCGUGUGGGGAGUUCUCGGGCGUGUCGUUGCUUUGCGGUUGACUUCGGUUGGCCGUAGGGCUCUUCGCGCUUGGUUCUCCUUUGGACACGGACGUUCAGACUCAGUUGCAAGACGCGAUAACCAGCCCACCACGGCACGUUGUGAGGUCACCCACAGGCUUGACUUUCGAUUGUGGUCCUUGACGCCGAGCAAGCACAAUGCGUGUCGCAGAUGUUCCUAACCGGGCAAUGGGCCAGGAUCGUGGAACGACACGCGCUCAAAAGUCAGGACCGGGCGAUGACAAAGUUCUGGUAUGAUCCUCAUGCGACGAGCCGGCUUCUGGCCGAUUCCGAUGCUCAGGUCUCCCGCAUGUGCCGCGGGAGAUCGCUUUGGCGGUCUGGACCUCAAAGAGUCCUCUCAGCCGGGCAACGGAAAGAGUGGUGUAAAGUUCAAGCCCAUCGGUCACGUCUCGAAACACGGGCCAAGGAGUAUAGCAUGUGUGCAAGUCUAAGGGUCUCACAAAACCCGAAGGCGAAGUGAAAGCAAGUAAGCGGCGGGUGAUCUACGGAGAGAU
rnacentral:rRNA from 1 species